UGCCAGCAGCCGCGGUAAUACGAAGGGGGCUAGCGUUGUUCGGAAUUACUGGGCGUAAAGCGAACGUAGGCGGAUAGUUUAGUCAGAGGUGAAAGCCCAGGGCUCAACCUUGGAAUUGCCUUUGAUACUGGCUAUCUUGAGUACGGAAGAGGUAUGUGGAACUCCGAGUGUAGAGGUGAAAUUCGUAGAUAUUCGGAAGAACACCAGUGGCGAAGGCGACAUACUGGUCCGUUACUGACGCUGAGGCGCGAAAGCGUGGGGAGCAAACAGGAUUAGAAACCCCUGUAGUCC
rnacentral:rRNA from 1 species